GGGGGGGCAAGCGUUUGUUCGGAUUUACUGGGCGUAAAGGGCUCGUAGGCGGCCACCUAAGUCGAUUGUGAAAUCCCUCGGCUCAACCGGGGAACUGCGACCGAUACUGGGUGGCUUGAAGCCGGGAGAGGGAUGCGGAAUUCCAGGUGUAGCGGUGAAAUGCGUAGAUAUCUGGAGGAACACCCGUGGCGAAGGCGGCAUCCUGGACCGGCCUUGACGCUGAGGAGCGAAAGCUAGGGGAGCGAACGGGAUUAGAUACCCCGGUAGUCCUAGCCCUAAACGAUGAAUGCUUGGUGUGGCGGGUAUCGAUCCCCUGCCCGUGCCGUAGCUAACGCGUUAAGCAUUCCGCCUGGGGAGUACGGUCGCAAGGCUG
rnacentral:rRNA from 1 species